rnacentral:rRNA from 1 species
AUGCCCGACGAGGAGGACGGCAUAGCUGAUGAAUGUGGCUCGACCUCUCUCUCUGCUAUUUGCGCUAGGAUGAUCCAGUCUUGUAGCUAUACAGUAGAGGUGAAGAAUAGAAGUGGCCAUUUGAUCAUCAAAUAUUCUGAGAGAAGUGAUAAUGUUGAUGUUCCAUGUACUCCUUCGAACCAAACACCAUCUAUAGCACUGCCCAGUCAACCAAGUAGCGUCAUUGAUGAAGCUAGUGUAUGCCUAACAGAUACAUAUCUUGACAAUCCGCAUGAAGAAUAUGAACAUGUUGGUGUAGAUGAGGAGGACCAGUACUCAAUUGGCAGUGUUGGUUCCGAUAGUGAUGAUGAGGUCAAAGAAAAAGAUAUACCAAAUAAUGAUUAUGUUGAGGAUAGCAGUGAUGAUGAGGAAUGGGUUGCAGAAGAUGCUAGACCGGAUGCUAUUCCAGAAAAUGCUUAUGACAAAGAAAACCCGCCAAUGCAUGUUGGCGCAAAGUACCCCAACAUUGAAGAGUUUAGGUUGGCAAUUGCUACAUAUGCUGUAAAGAAAGAGUUCGAAUUCAAGGUUGAAAAAAGUGAACCUACUCGAUUCAGGGCUUAUUGUCGCCGGGCAAAGAAGACGGAUUGUAAAUGGAGAAUUCAUGUUGGGAGGUUGGAUGACCAAGAAACUAUGGAGGUCAAAGUUCAUGUGCAGGAGCACACUUGUUCUAGCGCAAAGAAGAAAAAGAAGCAGAAAAAUGCUUCAAAGGCAUGGGUGUGUGAGAAAGUCAUGGACUGGGUAAAAGAAGAUCCUAGUGUUCGGCCGAUGGAGUUACGGAGGAGGCUACAUGACAAGUACAAGAUCAACGUCCAAUACAUGAAAGUAUUCCGUGGCAAAGGGCUAGCAAUGGCUAAGUUGUUUGGUAACUGGGAUGAUUCUUUUGACAAGCUAUAUGCUUGGAAAGCUGAGGUUGAGAAGAGGUCUCCUGGAAGCAUAGUUGCGAUUGACCACAUGGAACCUUACUUGGCGAUAGAUAGCACUCAUUUGACAGGCAAGUACAGAGGCCAAUUAGCUACUGCUUGUGCCGUUGAUGGGCACAAUUGGUUGUAUCCUGUAGUCUAUGGAGUUAUUGACUCAGAAACUACUGAAAGUUGGGUGUGGUUUUUGGAGAAGCUUCGUGAUGCUAUUGGCUCUCCCCCUGGUCUAGCUAUAUGUUCAGAUGCGGGAAAAGGGAUUGACACUGCAAUCGAACAGAUCCGCAAGCACAAAGGUCUCAUGUUGUUUCAGCUCAUGGACAAGAUCAGGAGAAAGAUUACUGUCAAGUUUGAGAAGAGGAGAAGGGUAGCUAGAAAAUUUCAAGGUCGACAUAUACUUCCAAGUGUCAUGAAGGAGUUGAAUGACAUAAGCAGGGGGCUGGACAUUGAAUAUGAGAGAAUAGAUGACAUGAUUGCAGAGGUAAGUGAGAGUGUUGCACUAGGUGGCAAGUGCCACGUCACUGAUCUAGCAAAUAGGACAUGCACAUGCAGGGCAUUUCAAGUCUCUGGGAAGCCUUGCAAACAUGCAAUUAGCUUUAUUAUUGGAAUUAGGGGGGUCACAAUAGAAGACUUCGUUGAUGAUUGUUACAGCGUUGCCAAGUUCGUUGCAGCUUAUGCUCCUAUUCUUCCUGGCCUAACUGACAUGUCUCAAUGGCCUAGUGUGAACAAAGAAUUCUUCUUGAAUCCCCCAAUCCUUAGGAGGGCCCCUGGAGGCCAAAGGUGCAGAGGCACAAAAGUGGUGCUGAGAAUAGCAAGGGAAAGGGAAAGAAAGGCCAUCACCAGUGUUCAAUUUGCAAAGCUUAUGGACAUAGAUGGCAAAGCUGCAAAGAUGCUGCUCCUGAAGCACUAG